GUGGGGUUCCCGAGCGGCCAAAGGGAGCAGACUGUAAAUCUGCCGUCAUCGACUUCGAAGGUUCGAAUCCUUCCCCCAC
rnacentral:tRNA from 19 species